rnacentral:lncRNA from 10 species
GGAUUACAGGCGUGAGCCACCGCACCCGGCCUCUUUCUUUUAAAUGUGUCAAAGUCCAUCAAGCACGAGGCCUCUCCAAUUCUGAAGGCUCUAGUCACAGGCAUUUCUAUCUCCCUGAUGGAACCUGUGGCUGGCUUGGUGGGGCAGGGAGAGUGACCACCCACCACCUCCUCCACCUCCUCCACCUCCUCCACCUCCUCCACCUCCUCCACCUCCUCCACCUGGCCAAGCAGCCCUGCUGGAGCUUACACCACAGUGUCUCCCCCGGGAGGUGCCGCCAGCAGACCCAGCAAGGCCUCCUCACAUCUAGGGCCAACUGGGUUGUUUUGUCACAGGAAGACACCAAAUGUCCGCCUGGUUUAUUUUUGUCUUUGCUCUUGCUCUUCCAAGGCUCGAGGCCAUCCCUCCUCCAGCGGCUCCACACUCACUUUCAGCCCCACAUACAACCAGGCAUCCUGGCAACUCAACAAGCAAAGACAGAACCCAAGUCAGCAAUAAACAGCACCCAGAUGACAUCCGGGAGCUCCAUCCAGCAGGAGACCACAGGCACUUCGGGCCCUGCCACUAGAAUCUGAGAGAGAAUCUCCAGAAUUCUACCUGCCUCACCUUCUCUCACCCCACUGCAGCCCCUACUCUGUGCUUAAACAUACGUCUCAAAGAAACCGCCCACACCACUACGAUUCCAAUUUUUACACCCUCCUGGCUAAAGCUGGUACUGGAUUUGUACUCUCUCUCGGUUCAGUUUCCAAUUCAGGGCAGAAGGGCCGCAGAAGACAGAGCAAUGACAAACCCAGGAAGUGAAAACACGAAAACAGGAUCCACGCUUAGCAACACUGACUUCUGUGCUGAGUCCUGGGACGCACAGAGUAUUUCAUCUGGUCUUUGCCCUUGUGUUCAUAAUUACUUUAAGAACAUACGAUGCAGCGGAAAUCCAAGAUAAUAUGAGAGCCACUGGAAGCUUAGAAUGACCAAGUGUCGGCCGGGGGCGGUGGCUCAUCCAUUCCUUUUGGCUUUUUACUCUUUUAUCUUUGUCUCCUUCUCUUCUCUCCCCACAAUCCUUGAUGAGUUGUUCUCAGACACUGCUUGGCAAAUCUGAACCCUAGUCAGUCUUAUAAGGGCUCCU